GUGCUCAAUCUGGCAUCACUUAUACCAAAACUGGAAUGAUACAGAAAUUAGUAUGAUCCCUGCACAAGGAUAACACUCAAAUUUGUGAAGCUGAGAGAGAUUAU
ensembl:snRNA U6 U6 spliceosomal RNA